GAUGAACGCUGGCGGCGUGCCUAAUACAUGCAAGUCGAGCGAACAGACGAGGAGCUUGCUCCUCUGACGUUAGCGGCGGACGGGUGAGUAACACGUGGAUAACCUACCUAUAAGACUGGGAUAACUUCGGGAAACCGGAGCUAAUACCGGAUAAUAUAUUGAACCGCAUGGUUCAAUAGUGAAAGACGGUUUUGCUGUCACUUGUAGAUGGAUCCGCGCCGCAUUAGCUAGUUGGUAAGGUAACGGCUUACCAAGGCAACGAUGCGUAGCCGACCUGAGAGGGUGAUCGGCCACACUGGAACUGAGACACGGUCCAGACUCCUACGGGAGGCAGCAGUAGGGAAUCUUCCGCAAUGGGCGAAAGCCUGACGGAGCAACGCCGCGUGAGUGAUGAAGGUCUUCGGAUCGUAAAACUCUGUUAUUAGGGAAGAACAAAUGUGUAAGUAACUAUGCACGCCUUGACGGUACCUAAUCAGAAAGCCACGGCUAACUACGUG
rnacentral:rRNA from 1 species